rnacentral:rRNA from 1 species
CCUGAUGGAGGGGGAUAACUACUGGAAGCGGUAGCUAAUACCGCAUAACGUCACAAGACCAAAGAGGGGGACCUUCGGGCCUCUUGCCAUCGGAUGUGCCCAGAUGGCAUUAUCUAGUAGGUGGGGUAACGGCUCACCUAGGCGACGAUCCCUAGCUGGUCUGAGAGGAUGACCAGCCACACUGGAACUGAGACACGGUCCAGACUCCUAC